rnacentral:rRNA from 1 species
CCUACGGGCGGCAGCAGUGGGGAAUAUUGCACAAUGGGCGAAAGCCUGAUGCAGCAACGCCGCGUGAGCGAUGAAGGCCUUCGGGUCGUAAAGCUCUGUCCUCAAGGAAGAUAAUGACGGUGAGUGAGGAGGACGCCCCGGCUAACUACGUGCCAGCAGCCGCAGUAAUACGUAGGGGGCUAGCGGUAUCCGGAAUUACUGGGCGUAAAGGGUGCGUAGGUGGUUUCUGAAGUCAGAGGUGAAAGGCUACGGCUGAACCGUAGUAAGCAUUUGAAACUGGGGAACUUGAGUGCAGGAGAGGAGAGUGGAAUUCCAAGUGUAGCGGUGAAAUGCGUAGAUAUUAGGAGGAACACCAGUGGCGAAGGCGGCUCUCUGGCUUGUAACUGACGCUGAGGCACGAAAGCGUGGGGAGCAAACAGGAUUAGAUACCCUUGUAGUC